ACGUUUUUAUGUUCUCACGGUUUGAUGUUCGUGUAUUAUCAGGCGACCACGUUAAUUAAUUCGUAACUUCAGAGUUCAGAAAGACUGAGAAAAAUGACCCAUCUUCUUUGGCAGUAUUCUGCAAAGUGGUCCUCAAAACAUAUUGUAAUUGUACAAUUGAAAUCACACUACACGAAUGGGUUAGAGCAUGUAAUCUUUCUGCCUUCCCUCUCCGUCUCUGAGUAACAAAGAAAUCUCACCAUUCCUGAUUCUUUCUCUCUCAUAGUCAGGCAAUUAUUUUCUUAUUCCGGGCUAGCUAGUUGUCAAGAUAAUGAUCAUUGAACUUCCUUCGAAGAAUUGAAGAAUUGAUUUGCAACGCUAGCUAGCUCAUGAGUUUAGAAUCGCAACUCCAACAAAGCAAUUAACUUUCAGAUGUACAAAUAAACCCGGGGCAGGAAUUUGUACCAAAAAGCUGCACUCAAAUAAAGAUGACAUAAAAAAUUAUCCAGGUGACUGUUGUUUGGCCAAUUAGAUUAUUGGUUACCGGAUCUUUAUGAGAUCACUUAUAGAUAUUCAGUUCUCACUAUAAGAGAGGUAUCAAGAUCCUUUGUGGUUAGAUUAUACUCAAAUUUAAAAUCUACGAGAUUUAAUUUGUAACAUUUGUUCAUUUAUGUACAUGCUUAACAUAAUGUGAGAGUAAAAUUUAAGUAUAAAAAUGUUGUUAUUCAUAUUUAUCCAAACUCAAAUUUUAAGAUGUUAGAGCUAUAGAUCAUUUGUUAUUAUGUCUUUAUUG